GGGAUUCCAUAUGCAGAUAGGGAGAAGGAGCCUGUGAUGUUUAAGCUGAGAUACAGUCAAAAUAUUCUUCGACUGCCAUGGAUUGAACCUGUGACCUUCUAACUGCAAGCAGAUGCUCUACCACGGAGCUAUUUUAUAGGGUUCAUUUGCAGUCACCCAUUCAAAUGCAAACCAAGAUAGCAGCUUUGGACUUUUGGAGCUCUUCGUCCCGGCCUUCUAGUGCAUCCCGCAGGGCUGCAUUCCCCUCUUUAUAGAGGGCAAUUUCUUUCUCAUAGCCCCACAGCUCACCCAUCAAAUCCCCUGGCCUCAGCGCUUGGGAUUCAAGGUCCAGCUUGGGAAACGGCUCCUUGACACCUCCUGGGAACUUCCUCAGACUUUG